UCCGAGUUGACCCCGGCAGUCUCCUAUGAGUCCCCACCAUUACGUGCUGGCAACAUAGAACAAGGGUUGCGCUCGUUGCGGGACUUAACCCAACAUCUCACGACACGAGCUGACGACAGCCAUGCACCACCUGUCACCCACCAACUAAAUGACCCUGUAUCUCUACAGGUCCACGGGUGAUGUCAAACCUUGGUAAGGUUCUUCGCGUUGCGUCGAAUUAAGCAACAUGCUCCACCGCUUGUGCGGGCCCCCGUCAAUUCCUUUGAGUUUCAGCCUUGCGGCCGUACUCCCCAGGCGGGGCACUUAAUGCGUUAGCUGCGACACCGAUGGGAUCGGUCCCACCGGCAUCUAGUGCCCAUCGUUUACAGCGUGGACUAC
rnacentral:misc_RNA from 1 species